GGGGAGGUCGCAUAGUGGCCUAGUGCGCGGCACUGGAAAUGCCGUAUGGUGAAAGCCAUCGAGAGUUCAAAUCUCUCUCUCCCCGCCA
rnacentral:tRNA from 1 species